rnacentral:rRNA from 1 species
AUUGAAUGCUGGCGGCAGGCCUAACACAUGCAAGUCGAGCGGAUGAAGGGAGCUUGCUCCUGGAUUCAGCGGCGGACGGGUGAGUAAUGCCUAGGAAUCUGCCUGGUAGUGGGGGAUAACGUCCGGAAACGGGCGCUAAUACCGCAUACGUCCUGAGGGAGAAAGUGGGGGAUCUUCGGACCUCACGCUAUCAGAUGAGCCUAGGUCGGAUUAGCUAGUUGGUGGGGUAAAGGCCUACCAAGGCGACGAUCCGUAACUGGUCUGAGAGGAUGAUCAGUCACACUGGAACUGAGACACGGUCCAGACUCCUACGGGAGGCAGCAGUGGGGAAUAUUGGACAAUGGGCGAAAGCCUGAUCCAGCCAUGCCGCGUGUGUGAAGAAGGUCUUCGGAUUGUAAAGCACUUUAAGUUGGGAGGAAGGGCAGUAAGUUAAUACCUUGCUGUUUUGAGGUUACCAACAGAAUAAGCACCGGCUAACUUCGUG